CGACAAAUUUAUUCCGUAAAGAUAGAUAACUCCUAUAAAAUUUCAUCAAAUUGCUUCGAUCCAAAUACGCCAAAAAUUACUGAGGAUGUAACGAACAAUUUGUAAAAAGAGAUUUUGUCGCUAUCUUUUUUUGUUACAAAGGAGAUACGCUCUGAUGAUAAACAGUGAAUAGGGAGAUAACUCUUACAAAGAAAAUGGUUCGGCUUUACAGGGUGAAAUUUAAAAGCGCAUAAACUAUACGAUACAAUAUGAGAAAUAUCUAAGCGACAUAUUGCGAAACAAACAUUUAUCGCAAGAACAAAAGUUGGCGGAAAAAAAAAAAUAAUAAUAAUAAUAAUAAUUAAAAACCAAUUGUUCAGAGAACAAUUGAAAGUCUUCCCACAUCA
rnacentral:lncRNA from 1 species